UACGAAGGGGGCUAGCGUUGUUCGGAUUUACUGGGCGUAAAGCGCACGUAGGCGGAUUGUUAAGUCAGGGGUGAAAUCCUGGAGCUCAACUCCAGAACUGCCUUUGAUACUGGCAAUCUCGAGUCCGGAAGAGGUAAGUGGAACUCCUAGUGUAGAGGUGGAAUUCGUAGAUUUUAGGAAGAACACCAGUGGCGAAGGCGGCUUAUUGGUCCGGAACUGACGCUGAGGAGCGAAAGCGUGGGGAGCGAGCAGG
rnacentral:rRNA from 1 species